UUACGGUCAAAUCACGUUGAAAACACCGGUUCUCGUUCGAUCACCGAAGUUAAGCAUCGUAGAGCCAGGUCAGUACUUAGAUGGGGGACCGCUUGGGAACACCUGGUACUGUAA